AUGGUGGCCGGGCCGGGGCCGGGGCUGCUGGCCUUGGCCUUGGCCUUGUGGCCGGCAGGGCUCUGGGCACAGCCGAGGCUGCAGGAGGCCGGCGGAGGGCAGCGAGCGCCCGGGGACUCCGUCACCCUCUCCUGCCGCGGAUCCGGAUUCACCUUCGAGGAUCAUUCUAUUUGGUGGUACCGUCAGUUCUCCGGGGGCCCCCUGGAGUGGGUGUCCUAUAUCAGCCGUCCCAGGGGUUCUGCAAAGGAGUACGGGGCAGCAGUGAUGGGCCGCGCCGAGAUGUCCCGGGACAAUUCCCGAUCCGAGGCUUAUCUCUCUUUGCGGUCCGUGCGAGCUCGGGACGCUGCCCGGUAUUUCUGUGCCGCCCCACGGGGACAGGAAAUGCAGAUGAGCUUUAACAGAAACCUCCCGGCCAGAGGCUGUCUUACAUUUUGUGCAGGUGAGAGUUGCCGGGGCUGGAGCCAGUGGGUCUCAGGGCUGUUUCCAAGAAGUCAGAUGCCAUCGCUGUGUACCUCAGAUUCAUCCUCAAGGCUGAAUUCCUGAAUUCUCUGCCUGUUCUCUCCAAAAAGAAACAGACAACAGGAAAUCAGGUUUGGGAUCAUUACUUAACAAUGAAUCAGUGCUCUUCAUCUCUACUGCUUCUUGUUCCCCUCCUCCCUCACAGGCUGCAGUUCAAUGGCUCCAGCCUGGUUCCUUCCCAAGAGCUGCUGUCCUUCAGAAUCAACCCUGUCCAGCCUCGGUUCUCCACAGCCUCCACUUCCCAGUGUCAUGAUCAAACAAUAUGUGAACAUCUCC